GACGAACGCUGGCGGCGUGCUUAACACAUGCAAGUCGAACGGAAAGGCCUGCUUUCCCUUGUGGAUUGCGGGUACUCGAGUGGCGAACGGGUGAGUAACACGUGAGUGAUCUGCCCCCAACUUGGGUAUAAGCCUGGGAAACUGGGUCUAAUUCCCGAUAGGACUGCAGGGUGGUGCCUGUGGUGGAAAACGAUUUUCUAGUGGUUGGGGAUGAGCUCGCGGCCUAUCAGCUUGUUGGUGGGGUAAUGGCCUACCAAGGCGGCGACGGGUAGCCGGCCUGGGAGGGUGGACGGCCACAUUGGGACUGAGAUACGGCCCAGACUCCUACGGGAGGCAGCAGUGGGGAAUAUUGCACAAUGGGCGGAAGCCUGAUGCAGCGACGCGGCGUGGGGGAUGACGGCCUUCGGGUUGUAAACUCCUGUCGACCGCGGGGAAGCCACCUGGUUGGAAGGGUGGUGACGGUAGUGGUAGAAGAAGCACCGGCUAACUACGUG
rnacentral:rRNA from 1 species